UUGCAAAGGAAAAGGAGAAUUUGGUGCCUUUUCUGUAACUGGGCGAGACACACUGUACCUGGGAGUGACGUGGACGGGGCAGGACGCCUUGGGACGGCUUUCCACGCCCUAAGUGCUGCCAUGAGUCCACCUGUUCAGUUUUCACGGAUGUGCCGGAGACGGGGGCUGCUAUUGCGCCAUUUACAGAUGAGGAGGCCGUGGCGGGGUGUGGGGUGGCUGAGUAUCUGAGCUAGGUCCCCCCAACCCCUUGAUCCCAUCUCACCGCACCCAGGUGGGGUGGCCUUCGGGGCUGGGGACACUGAACCUACAGGAAUUCCUUUCUACAAAGAAGAGGGAAGGAAGGAGCAGGCUGGGGAUGGGGACGGCGUGCUGCCUGCGCGGCUCCUGCGACCUCUGCAGGGGUUUAAAGAUCAGCCACAGAGCACAGGGGUGAGGGUCAGGCACACACUGCUUGGGGGCUUGUUGCGGCUUAGCCCUCACACUGUCCCUUCCCGUCCAGGGCCCCGGAGCAACACGUCCAGCGGGGGUCGGCGUGAGAGCGGUGUGGAGACACCCACCCUCCCUUGCAGCCAGAGCUGCCCCUGGCUGACGUCUCCUCGGAGGAGCACUGGCCGGUGAGUCCUGGCUCAGCUGUGACCAAUCGGCCUCUCCCUGGGGCCGCUCUUCCUGCCCACGCCUCCCUGGUCAACUGCAGUCACGGAAGUGAAAGUGCCGGAAAACCCCUGCGCAGCGCCCAGGCAGGUUAACGGGACGCACUGCUUCUCAGUCCACAUGUGGUGAGAAGUGAAAGUCAUCUUUGCCUAAAGAAUGGCCUCCCAGAGCCGCCCCCAUGGGGCCACUUCCUCCAGGAAGCUGGCCUGGAUUGCACCCUGACCCUAGGCACCGUCCCUGUCUUCCUAGGUGCUGAUUUGAGGUCUUCCUGCUGGACAGGAGGACGUGGCUGGUUGCUGUGCUUGUGUGUGGGGAUGGGCUGGUAUGGGGAAGGAGUGGAGCAUUCCGGCAACCACUGAGGCCUCCGGGAAGCAGUGCCAUGCUUACUGGGGAGAGAGGGAGGUGCACUGACCGGGCCCGGAGAACUGGCUGCACCUGGCAAUGAGGACAUACCCAGAGCCCCUGCUCCCUGCUCUGCCCCAGUGGAGUGUCCAGUGGGGAGGUAGUUGGGGGAGGUCGGGCUUUGUCCCACCAUCCACUCUCCUGAGGACUUCCUACCUCUGUGGACGCCCCUUUCUCUAUUCCUGGCUCAUCCAUUUCUCUUCACCCUCCGUCCCCAGAGCUCUGCAGUCUCCCGCCUCUGUCCGGCCUUCGCAAACCCUCCCUCAUGGAGCUGUCCACGCACUGGCCACCCUAUCCCCUCGCGGUGCUGCUGGCUUCCUGCCAUGACUGACCCAGCAGUGGUUCCAGGGCGAGCUUCCCUCCGAGCCUGGGGCUGGACUCCACGGUCAGUGUGAUUUCACGGCAGCGAGAUCCUCACAUCUCCAGCCCAUCUGCCUCUGCCCCACAGGGUCAGUGAAGCCUGCUGUGUGCCUCUCAGAACCUCAGUAUCUUCUUCUGUGACGGCAGUAACAGCAGCACCCCCAGGCUGGCUCCCCAGCAUGGAGCCCCCCGACACUAUGUGGUCAACAAAAGGGAGAACAGGAGGUGGGAGAACGGCGGUGACAGCACGUUGCUCACAGACGCGGGUCCGACGGCCACUAUCUGGCCCCUUGCAGGCACCCUUGGGGCUGCCCGUCUGUCUGUCUGUCUGUGGCCUCUUGUCACGCGCACACUGACCUCCCUGCCUCUGGCUGGAGCCCACGGACACCCUGGCCGAGCUCUGCAUGAUCCGCCAGCUCCAUAGCCCGGCAAACACGGGGCCUGCGGCUGAAGGAAGAAUCGGGCUGAGACCACCUGGCUGCUCAUGUCCACUCCCCCUCCCACCGCACCCCCUCGAUGGGCACCUCCCAUAAUGGGGGCUGCCUGCAGCCUCUCCGGCGCCUCCCUGUGUCCCAUUGCCCGGAGUGCAGAGUGAGUGGCCGGAGCUGUGGCCUGGGGUGGGCUGGGCCUUAGAAGAAGGAGGCAGAGGAAGAUUUGGGAAGAAGGAGAAGGCCUUGAGAAGACAGAGGUAGAGGCUGUGGUGUGGCAGGCACAGCCCAGGAACACCUGGGGCCAGCAGGACCUGGAGGAGGCAGGACCCGGAGGAGCACGGCCAUCUGGCGCCUUAGUUUCGAACUUCCAGCCUACGGCGCUGUGAGAGAAGCCUCUGUCAUUCUGGGUCCCCACCCAGCUUGCAGCCUGUCCUUACUGCAGCCCCAGGAGAUAGAAACACUGGGGGAAGGCAUUCCAGACCCAGAACAUUCCAAACCCAGAACAUUCCGGACCCAGAACAUUCCAAACCCAGAACAUUCCGGACCCAGAACAUUCCAAACCCAGAACAUUCCGGACCUAGAACAUUCCAAACUCAGAACAUUCCAAACCCAGAAUAUUCUGGACCCAGAACAUUCCAGAUGCAGAACAUUCCAGACCCAGAACAUUCCAGACCCAGAACAUUCCGGACCCAGGACGUUCCAGACCCACAACAUUCCAGAGGGCAGCUGGGCCCAGAUGGCCAUUUGAGGAGAUGGAGGAUGGAGAGUGAGUGGCGGCGCAGCCCAGCCCCAAGGGCAAGGUCGGUGGAGGGAGCUCAGGCUGACCAUAGGCUCUGGACAUGACCCCUGUGCCAGGUGGGCUCCGGCCAGGGCUUAAGCUUCCUGCACGGAUGGUGCCUCCACAGCAUCUGCCCACCUUGCCCGUCCCCAUAACACCCGCCCGCCUUUGCCUGGACCCCUCCACUGAUGGUGCUCACCACCUCCCCGAGAUCCCAUGUCGUCCCUCUAAGGUGACACCAGGCCGCCUGACUCAGUUUCUCCCCCAUGGAGGUCUCAGCACAUGGCACUGAGCCUUCUCUGCCUCAGCCUAUACUCGCUAGGUGGAUUUCAAAGUCUCUGUCUCCGGCACCUUCCUUAGGUGACCUGGUUCCCAUCCCUCUCUCCUGGGGCAGUCAGGUCACCACUGUGACCUCAGCCUCUUUUUUCACAAAGUGGGUUUGUGGAGACAAGGCGGUGAGAACCUGCACAGCUCUGAGCACACACAGCGGGCGCAUCAUAAACCCAGGACCACAAGCACUUGUCUUAAGGGGUUCCUUCUGCACCACUGGGCCAAGGGGUCAGUGAGGAUCUGGACCCUCCGCCUGCGGGGGCUGGUGAAAGAGCCCAGGGAAGGGGUCCUGGCCCCCAGACGGCGGCGUGUGCUCUGUGGCCGUCUUCCGAUUGCUUACACCCCAGCCCCCUGGACACUGUCAGAGGAGACGAGGGGUUGAGUUCCUGCCACCCGCUGCGCGGCACACGGAUGUCUCCCCGCCUGCCACCAAACACGCGGCAACACAGCCCUGUUCAGUCAGCCUUUGCUCUAAAGACAGGAAGGUUCUUCUACUUCAGCUCUUAAAAAUAUUACUGUUCUCCCCAGAGUUUAAAGCCAAUCAGCCUGUUUUCAGGCCUCAAAGGAU